rnacentral:rRNA from 1 species
CAGGCCUAACACAUGCAAGUCGAACGGUAACAGGAAGCAGCUUGCUGCUUUGCUGACGAGUGGCGGACGGGUGAGUAAUGUCUGGGAAACUGCCUGAUGGAGGGGGAUAACUACUGGAAACGGUGGCUAAUACCGCAUAACGUCGCAAGACCAAAGAGGGGGACCUUCGGGCCUCUUGCCAUCAGAUGUGCCCAGAUGGGAUUAGCUUGUUGGUGAGGUAACGGCUCACCAAGGCGACGAUCCCUAGCUGGUCUGAGAGGAUGACCAGCCACACUGGAACUGAGACACGGUCCAGACUCCUACGGGAGGCAGCAGUGGGGAAUAUUGCACAAUGGGCGCAAGCCUGAUGCAGCCAUGCCGCGUGUAUGAAGAAGGCCUUCGGGUUGUAAAGUACUUUCAGCGGGGAGGAAGGUGUUGUGGUUAAUAACCGCAGCAAUUGACGUUACCCGCAGAAGAAGCACCGGCUAACUCCGUGCCAGCAGCCGCGGUAAUACGGAGGGUGCAAGCGUUAAUCGGAAUUACUGGGCGUAAAGCGCACGCAGGCGGUCUGUCAAGUCGGAUGUGAAAUCCCCGGGCUCAACCUGGGAACUGCAUUCGAAACUGGCAGGCUUGAGUCUUGUAGAGGGGGGUAGAAUUCCAGGUGUAGCGGUGAAAUGCGUAGAGAUCUGGAGGAAUACCGGUGGCGAAGGCGGCCCCCUGGACAAAGACUGACGCUCAGGUGCGAAAGCGUGGGGAGCAAACAGGAUUAGAUACCCUGGUAGUCCACGCCGUAAACGAUGUCUACUUGGAGGUUGUGCCCUUGAGGCGUGGCUUCCGGAGCUAACGCGUUAAGUAGACCGCCUGGGGAGUACGGCCGCAAGGUUAAAACUCAAAUGAAUUGACGGGGGCCCGCACAAGCGGUGGAGCAUGUGGUUUAAUUCGAUGCAACGCGAAGAACCUUACCUGGUCUUGACAUCCACAGAAGAAUCCAGAGAUGGAUUUGUGCCUUCGGGAACUGUGAGACAGGUGCUGCAUGGCUGUCGUCAGCUCGUGUUGUGAAAUGUUGGGUUAAGUCCCGCAACGAGCGCAACCCUUAUCCUUUGUUGCCAGCGGUUAGGCCGGGAACUCAAAGGAGACUGCCAGUGAUAAACUGGAGGAAGGUGGGGAUGACGUCAAGUCAUCAUGGCCCUUACGACCAGGGCUACACACGUGCUACAAUGGCGCAUACAAAGAGAAGCGACCUCGCGAGAGCAAGCGGACCUCAUAAAGUGCGUCGUAGUCCGGAUUGGAGUCUGCAACUCGACUCCAUGAAGUCGGAAUCGCUAGUAAUCGUGGAUCAGAAUGCCACGGUGAAUACGUUCCCGGGCCUUGUACACACCGCCCGUCACACCAUGGGAGUGGGUUGCAAAAGAAGUAGGUAGCUUAACCUUCGGGAGGGCGCUUACCACUUUGUGAUUCAUGACUGGGGUGAAGUCGUAACAAGGUAACCGUAGGGGAACCUGCGGUUGGAUCACCUCCUUA